rnacentral:rRNA from 1 species
CGACGUGAGGAACCUGCCUUCCAGAGGGGGACAACAGUUGGAAACGACUGCUAAUACCGCAUGAUGCGUUGGAGCCGCAUGACUCCGACGUCAAAGAUUUAUCGCUGGAGGAUGGCCUCGCGUCUGAUUAGCUAGUUGGUGAGGUAACGGCCCACCAAGGCGACGAUCAGUAGCCGGACUGAGAGGUUGGCCGGCCACAUUGGGACUGAGAUACGGCCCAGACUCCUACGGGAGGCAGCAG